AGUGAACGCUGGCGGUAGGCCUAACACAUGCAAGUCGAACGGCAGCACAGUAAGAGCUUGCUCUUACGGGUGGCGAGUGGCGGACGGGUGAGGAAUACAUCGGAAUCUACUUUUUCGUGGGGGAUAACGUAGGGAAACUUACGCUAAUACCGCAUACGACCUACGGGUGAAAGCAGGGGAUCUUCUGACCUUGCGCGAUUGAAUGAGCCGAUGUCGGAUUAGAUAGUUGGCGGGGUAAAGGCCCACCAAGGCGACGAUCCGUAGCUGGUCUGAGAGGAUGAUCAGCCACACUGGAACUGAGACACGGUCCAGACUCCUACGGGAGGCAGCAGUGGGGAAUAUUGGACAAUGGGCGCAAGCCUGAUCCAGCCAUACCGCGUGGGUGAAGAAGGCCUUCGGGUUGUAAAGCCCUUUUGUUGGGAAAGAAAAGCAGCAGGUUAAUACCCCGCUGUUCUGACGGUACCCAAAGAAUAAGCACCGGCUAACUUCGUG
rnacentral:rRNA from 1 species